CGUAGGUGCAAGCGUUAAUCGGAAUUACUGGGCGUAAAGCGUGCGCAGGCGGUUUGUAAGUCUGACGUGAAAGCCCCGGGCUCAACCUGGGAAUUGCGUUGGAGACUGCAAGGCUUGAAUCUGGCAGAGGGGGUAGGAAUUCCACGUGUAGCAGUGAAAUGCGUAGAGAUGUGGAGGAACACCGAUGGCGAAGGCAGCCCCCUCGGGUCAAGAUUGACGCUCAUGCACGAAAGCGUGGGAGCAAACAGGAUU
rnacentral:rRNA from 1 species